AGCAACCAGACGUUCAACGCUGAAGAUUUCAGAUAAUGUAGAUCAUCAGACGCUGGGGGACUAGCAAUUACAAGCACAUCAAAAGCACCCCAGAACUCAGUUUUGUGUUCCUUCUAGUGAGAAUAGAACACUUUCAGCCGCUUCUGGAAGUUAUCAAGAUUGAUCGUGUAAGCACUGGGUGCCCCAGCAGCAUUUUUGUCAGAAGGUUUUGCAUUGCCAUUUCGGUGUUCCACCAUUGAAGCUAUGUUGGAUCUAGAACAACUGAAAUCCACAACAAACCAAACAGAAAAAUGCAGAGAUAACCACAAAUUUCAGAGAAGGUCCAAUUGGGAAUGGACCUCUAGAAAAAGAAGAUCAGUGGUUGGACAAUCCUGUUUAAGCAGUUUUGUAUAAAUGGACACUAAAGACAAGCUAGCAAUGGCUCAUCUUGAAUGAAAAGUUCAUUAAUAAGACGGUCGGGAAUGGGUAGGAUUGUCCAGAAGGCUUUUUUUUUUUUUUUUUUUUUUUUUGGGGUUUGUGGCCAAAUAAUGGUAGAGUGCAUUGGAUGAAUGGUCUGAAACAAGUCCAUCCCUGCAUAUGUAUAUAAUCGUAUGAUACAUUUAUGUGUAUGUAUUUAUGAAUAUAACUGUAUGAUGGUUGAAUGGAUGGAUGGGGGAAUCAAAGAUAUUUUUUUGGGUCUGGUUUCAUGGACCAAAUGGUAAUAGAGAUGCAGUUUCAUAAAUGAAAGCAGUUACAAGCACUGACAAGUUGUUGCUAUCUUCUGAUUAUGCAGGUGUAUCUUGUUGGGAAAUAGGAAUUUCGCAGUUCCUACACUUUCAUUUGGUCAUUUUGUUAGACACUAGUGCAUUAAAUGCAGAUUGCAUUGCGCUAUUGUGUAUUGAUUCCAACAUCUAAAGAUCUUUUCAAACUGUAUUGUGCUCUCCCAGUGAAUGCUAUGAAGUUAAGAAACGCUCUUACCUGAACCUCUAAUGGCUAGGAUGAAUUCUAAUAUUUUAUUUUGUUAAUUGGUUUUAGUUGAUUAAACUAUUCACUUUUCAUGG